UGAGAAAGAAAUAAGCGUCUAUUGUGUCU
rnacentral:piRNA from 1 species